CAAUAGCGUAUAUUUAAGUUGUUGCAGUUAAAAAGCUCGUAGUUGGAUUUCGGUUAAGAGCGACCGGUCCGCCGUUUGGUGUGCACUGGUUGGGUUUAACUUCCUGUAGAGGACGUGCUCUGGGUUUAACGACCUGGACUCGGAGUCUACGUGGUUACUUUGAAAAAAUUAGAGUGUUCAAAGCGGGCUUACGCUUGAAUAUUUCAGCAUGGAAUAACACUAUAGGACUCCUGUCCUAUUUCGUUGGUCUCGGGACGGGAGUAAUGAUUAAGAGGAACAGUUGGGGGCAUUCGUAUUUCAUUGUCAGAGGUGAAAUUCUUGGAUUUAUGAAAGACGAACUUCUGCGAAAGCAUUUGCCAAGGAUGUUUNCAUUA
rnacentral:rRNA from 1 species